GUAACUUUGAAGUCAGUGUCAGCUAUUCAUUACAUACAGACCCCUGGUUUUGUCAACUGGACAUCAGCUUUGGGGAGCUGUUUGAAGUGAAAGAAGCUCUGAAAAUAGGAUGGCUCAUUCUCCUUCAAGUAAUUGAAGAUAACCGGUUCUAUGACAGUGUUCUACCUGUUCAAAUCUUCAGCAAAAGAGAAACAGAGUUCUGAACAUCUUCCUCUACUCGGCUAUAAGAUUAAUGCUGCCUGGUACCCAUUGUUUUCAGCAAACUGAGGUCAAGUAAGCAGGGCUAUAAACUUUGUACUAAGAUGCAUCAUCAUUUAAUGUGUUUAUUAUAGUAGCUUUUCAUCUCUCAGAAUAAGAUUCUGUGCAAAAUGAUUUCUGUAUUAUCAAUCUGUCCAUCCUUACUUCUCUGCCAUACUGAGUGGCCCUUCAAGUUUUCUGGUAUAGUCCCAGAUCUUUUCUCUUGCAAAGACAGAGACCAGGUCAUUCUGUGACACUUUUUGUUGGAUCUGGAUACAUCGAGCCAUGGGUUCCUCUGUGACUGCAGCAUGAAACAGAUUUACCUGCCAGACUGCAGUUAGACAGAUUUUAAUAGCCCUUUACUGCCACAGAAUGAAACUCUGACUCAUGUAACACAGGCUUGUUUAGUAUAUUGUAGCCUUUGAAACAGCUGCAAAAUGGCAAGGUGUGGCAAAGAGUUAACCACAACCAAAUCCUAAAUAGCUGCAGUGUAGUUUACUGCAAAUGCUGCAUGAGACAAGAACAUUACAGAUGAGAAAUCUGCAUGCUUUCAACAGCAAGAUAAACUGUGAUUUUAGGAAGAAAGAAAAAAAAAAAAAAAAAAAAAAAAAAAACGAAAAAAAAACAAAAUAA